rnacentral:rRNA from 1 species
ACCAGGGGCUACACACGUGCUACAAUGGCGCAUCAAAGAGAAGCGACCUCGCGAGAGCAAGCGGACCUCAUAAAGUGCGUCGUAAUCCGGAUUGGAGUCUGCAACUCGACUCCAUGAAGUCGGAAUCGCUAGUAAUCGUGGAUCAGAAUGCCACGGUGAAUACGUUCCCGGGCCUU